GUCUCGUAGCCUUCAGUGGCUCCGGGGGCCACCCGGUCAGGAGUCUGACCCAGAAUCCUCCGUAUUAAAGGAGAGAGUGCAGGAGUUGCCUGAGGGCAGGGUGGAGACAGCACUUAUGUGCUGUGAUACCACUGGUCCUUGUGGAGGAUGAAUGGACCCUGUGACAGCAGAAUGGCUGGAUCCAAGAGAGAGAGAAGAGGAGUGUGAAAGUGGAGGUCCUGAUGACUGAGAUUAAGAUAUCAGACUCACAUCUGGUGUGGAGUAGAGAGGGGAAUGACAGACGGACACCAGUGAUUCUGCUUGUGCCAAGAGGUGCUCAGGCUUCUGUUCUGUACGUAAGCAGGAAUUUACCAGAAAGAGAGGGAACUGCAGGACUACACUGGCAAAUGAGUGAAAAUGGACACUGCUGUGUGUUAAGUGGCUGUCAGUGUGGGAUAGUCUUAAAUCUUGUUGGACAGAUCCAUUAAAAAAGGACCUUUAACAUUCUAGUGUACAAUCUUGUCAUUUCAUCUUCAGUUAUAGUCCAUGUGCACUGAGAAGCGGCAUUUUGUGCUGAAGGACUGGUUGGUUUUUGUUGUGAUUAUUAUGUUGAUUGUAUUUUGAUUUAAACUGAAGGACUAGAGAGAACAUGUCGCCCAGAAUGGUUGAUUUUUCUGUAGAGCGACUGGAUGCCGCUCGAGGCAGAUUUAAAGGCGAAUCAAGAUAGAUCUGUGGGGGGUGGGAAGCGCCGGCCCCAGAUUCAUGCCGUUCAGAAUCAGCUAUCGCGGUCCACAGACAGAUGGAGGAGGUGGAUGCUGACAAGCUCCAGCCCCACCAGUCUGUAGGCUCGCCUGCUUCAGCCUCCAUUUAAACAACUGAAUUGAGCUCGCCUGAAUUAAAUGCUCGAUUUAAAUCGCAUGCAGCCAAGUGCAUUCACUGAGUUCUCGCCUUAAUUCUUCACCUGUGUUAAACCCGAUUAGUUAUUUGUCAUUUAAGGCACAGGUGCAGCUUUGAUUAGAAUAUGCAGCCUCUGAUUCUUUGUGAAACUUAAACCAUCAUAUUAUUUAUAGACUGCUUAAGUGCUGCCACUAUUAACUAAACUAAGUAAUCAUUGAUUAAAAUACUGAACACUGCUUCAUUCAACGGACAAACAAUGUGCAUGUAAUUAGCAUCUCAUUUCACUGUUAAUAAGGCUUGACUUUGUGGGUGAGCUGAGCAAACACCGAGUCUCGACCCUUCGCUUUGGCCCAGUGUGCGGCCCGUUUGGUCGACACCUCCACGGAAGCCGGAAGGUUAAUCGAAGCAGUGAGGAGGUGGCUGGAGCAAAGGAGCCGGGUGACGAUGCCCCCCUGGGGGGUUCUGUGGCAGCAGUGCAGAAUGAAAGGAUAGGGAAAUAUGACAGGAAUGGGUGAUGGAAGGAGGAUGUGCAAGUCGGGCCGGUGAGGAGAUGACGGAUGUACUGAUGUUUUUGAAUGGUAAAGGAGGCCAAUGCUGCCUAUCUGAAGUGCACAUAGCGGCUGUAUCACUAUUGUGGGGGAUGGGGGGGGGAUUGGGUGACUUGAGGAACCAGAAGCUGACAGCUGCCACACACAUAUUGGCACCCCCCCUGAUGCUCUUCCACUUCUCAGACAUUCAAACUGAGGAUUUUACAUGGGCAGAACAACAAGGAUUCUGAUAGUGUGGUCUGAACCAACGCAUGGUGAUGUGGGUGUGACAUCACAAGAAGGGGAGGGGCAUGUGGUGGGGCCCAGCUAAGGGUCAUAGACACACAUGGUAGUCACAACAGUUGCUGUCUGUUGUAAAUUAUAAAGUGCAGGUUGAACAACGUUGCGUGACGAAUGCUUGCUAUAGCUUGGCGUGACAGAAUUUCUGUGGUAAACGGUCACUCCACUGCCUGCUUCUGUACAGUGUCUCAAACUGCCCACAGUUGCUGAAGGGGGCUCCACCCAGUCUCGCCCUCGGGGGCAGCGAUUACUGCAGCAGCUGCCUCCCGGUCAGACUCUCCUCCAUUCACUUACACUCUUCCAGAGUGCUUCGGGGUGCAGGGGGCACACAGCUCCACUAGAUUAGUGUGUUUGAUUUUUUUUCUUUUCUUUUUAAAGCCCCUCCUGAUGGAAGAUCACUAUUUAUUUGACUUCCUGGAGGGGUUAAAUGUACAAAAAUAGACUCAUACUGCUGAUGUUUUGUUUCAAUAUUGUUUUUUUUGUUGUUAUUUAUUAAUGAAUUCCUUGUUGCAUAUUUCCUUCCAGGGUGUAACAGUCUAUUUCCUUUGGAAUCCAGUGUUUUGGGCUGUUACUGAACCUGAAAGGGAGGUUGGGGGAUACCCUUAUUUAGUUUGUGUGAAAUGUCUGUUCAGUUUUUAAUCUUUUUUACACCCCUGAAAAGCUGUUUUGCCAUUAAGGUAGGACACACAAAGACGCAGAUUCUAGGUCUGUACAGGAUCUUGCUUGUUCUGAUUGGAACUGAUGUCCUUUCUGUAAACGACAUCCUGCGCUGAUGUGGUUCCGCUUGGCCUAAUGAUGUUGAAAGCUCCCCGGUCACCUGUCUUGAUACAGAUGUCUUCAGCUUGGCUCCAGUGAGUCAUCACGGGGAUGAGAGCUAUCAAUGGGUGUGAGGUCGCAUGUGAAGGAUGACAGACGUUACGGCGUUUUACUACUGAAACGGACGGUCGCUCGACAAAACACACGUACAAAAAAAAAAAAAAGAAAAUGGUUGAUGUUCUCCAUUCCGCAGUUUAAAAGAAAAGACCCACAGUGGGCCUCGAGUAGCACUUUCAUUCCUACUGCUCUUUUUAUACGUUUGACUGAGAAAAUGUCACUGCUUAAGAAGUUUGAUCAAAAAUGGGAAAAAGUGACUAAAAGCACAGAAGCCCCCCCCCACCCGCCCAAUGUUUUUAAUUACGACAGUUAAUAUUAUUUGUAUAAAUGUAAUAUUUCUUUGUGUGAAGUGCAGAUGACCAGGUGUGUGGAUGAGCUCUGGGCAGGAGACUCGCUCUGUGACACUGACGGGGGUCGCCCCCCCCACCCAUGAGCCUGUGUGAUGCCCUCUGCUGCCCAAAGAGCAGGUCUGAGUCCUGCGGUCACUCAGACGCGAGUGUCAGACACACUGGGCGACGGCAGAGGCAUGGGGAAGCCCCAUUCUUCCCCCCCCCCCCCCCCCCCCCCCGCCAGUGUCAAUCUUUCUACAGUUACUAUCACAACCACUCAACUCACAGGUUCAUGAGAUAAAUUAAUAACUAUAAUACUGAUGGAAAUAGUCUGACGGGGUCCACAGCUACAGGGGAGCCCAGCACUAUUCAGGUCGGCUUCCCAUUUUAACCCUCCGAUCGAGUGGCUCUCGUACCGUGGGAUGGCCCCUCCCAAAGGAAAGGUGUAGAAGAGCUGGGCUGUGGCCAUGCCCCCCCCCGGGGUGGAGCCUGGGGGCUGCUGUGCCUGGGGGCUAGGGCCGUACACCUUUCAUCUGGCCGAGCACCAAUGUGGAUUCUAUCCUUACUAACUGCAGGGUCUAUACAAUAUAUACAUAUAUAAAUAUAUAUAUAAAUAAAUAAAAUAUAUAUAUUUAUAUAUUUUACACCUCAACGUACACUCUUUGCUGCUACUGUUUGUACUGUCUACAACAGAUUUUCUUGUUAUCUUGCUCCUGGUCGUGUAUUUUGAACGAGCAUGAAUUGUAAAGUAUUUAUUUAAAGAAAAAAAAUUACAAAUCAAAAAAGACAAAAAAAGAAACCGACUUGUAAUUAUUAAUUUUACGUCCACGUAGCUUUAGAGUUUGUGACAUUUCUUGACCUUGCUAGCUGUCGAUGGAUCCAUGUUAAGAUCUAGUCGUGUGGUUCAGGAUUUUAAGCAGAAGGGACUAAAGAGAAAAAAAUUGAAUUACUGUCAGUCAUAUUUAAAGGAUAAAAUGUUAUUUCCUUGAGAACAGGACCCACAAGGAUGUGAAAAUAAUCUGCAGGAAACUGUUUUUUUGUACACUGUACAUCCUUAGUAUUUUUACAUGUAAAUGUAUAUGAUAGGGGUGCACAUUACCUUCCUUCUUACAGACAGCUUCAAUAAAGCAUUAUGUCAAUCUGCUUCA